AAAGUGAGAAGAAACGGACUGAGCAGAGGAUGCUGACCAUGUGGAUCUACAAGGCUCAUUGCCCCACAGCUGGACCCAGCUGCCUCCUACACGUCCCACUGUCCCCUCGUACUGUCCAGAACGAACUCAUCAAGUCCGGAAUCUGCCCUUCCAGUGGCAGCCUGGCCCUCAGGACAGCAGCAGGGACAUGAGGUUUUUGGGCUUAAGCCGGCGUGAGUCUGUUCCUGCCACUUGUAACCAAGUGAAUCGGAUGCCUGCACACCCCCCAGGAAACAAAACCGUCCUCUGCCCGCAACUGGGGCAGAAAAGGCAGGCGCCCACCGCCCACCGACUUCACCUCUCUUGGCCAGCUCCAAGGCGGUCUGCUUCCCGAUGCCCGUGUUGGCACCCGUCACAACAACAGUCUUCCCGGGAAUGGUGGCCUUGCUGGGACAAGCCCCGCCAGCGACAUAGUCCCUGAAGACUCGCCCGCCGUUACCCCGCCCGAGGGACCCGCGCGUACUCACUUGAGCAGCACGGCGCCCCCCACCGCUGUGCCCAGCACGGACAGCGGCAGAAUGUAGCGGUUCAU